rnacentral:lncRNA from 1 species
UGGGUCCAACCCUCCAGGUAAGACACGACCCAGAGAGCCAGCCCAGCAAGAACUAACUGGAGUGCUCUGAACGCUGCCUGCUCAGGGUGCCAGGGCAGUGAUGGGUCUGCAUUCCUGAUUUCCAGAAUUUUCUUUAAAGCAUAGGGCUAGAGUAGACCAAUCUCUCCAAUGUAGAUUCAGAUCUAUGGAUUUAUUCUAAGAACAAAUUCAACUGGAAAAGUAAGAAGUCGGCAUUCCUUCGAGCAUGAUGAGCAAGUUUCAGCCAACUGAUAAAAGACUCGGAAUGUCUGGAAGAAAGGCCCAGCUCUGUGAAGAGAGAGGCGCUUAACUUGGAAAGCCUUGGAGUUGAACAAUUUCUGUCCUCGGAGGGCUGGGCUGGCAUCAUCCACUUGGCUGGUUGGAAGCAAGUGCCGCUUGAUGUGGGCUCUGAGAAAACCCAGUGAAUAUAAGACCAGAUUCUCGGGAUGUGCCGCUGCUUGGAGGGUGCCGGGUGAUGGGUGACCUGCCCGUUUGCAGACUGAAGAGCUGUGCCGCCCAGACUUGAGUGCCUCGGUGCCAACUGAGAGUCAUGACUUAACAGGAGAAUGGGAAAGCAUCUGGAAUAACCCACAGUGAGCUCAAACAGUGUCUGGUUCAGGGCUACUGAGGGCUGUCCAGACAAGCAGAGACUGGUAUCAGGAAACCAACUCUCCCCUCACCUUCUGCCAAAAAAGGAACUACAAAAAUAGAGUAUGCUUCAGUGGGCAUGGUGGAAAUGCUACGUUGAAUAGCCAUGGAAAGGUGCCGCUGGAUGGAGCCAGGACCCUGGGAAGAGGGAGAUUGGAGGCAGAAGGGACUGUGAGCACCAGCUGAGGCUCACAAAUCUGUAAGAUCAAAAGGAAACCCAAUGGGAAGAAGAAAGAAAUGUCUCUUGCUGUCCUCAGUACUGUCUGUGUGCUCGUGAAUCACGACCAAUAGGAUGAUUGCUUGAUUUCUGGUAAUGAAAUCUGUCAGCACACCAGGCAUUCAAGGCAUAACAAUAAGAUAGCAAUACUAAUAGCUACCACUUAUUGUGCGCUUUCUCUGCCCAGUCACUGGGCUAAGUCCUCUACAUUCCUACACCAUCUAAUCCAUGAGAUGAUAUAUUAUUUAUCUGUUGCUGCAUAACAAAUUACUCCAAUACUUAGCAAAUUAAAACAAUAAACAUUUCUUAUCUCUCACAG